rnacentral:rRNA from 1 species
UACGUAGGGACCAAGCGUUGUCCGGAAUCAUUGGGCGUAAAGAGCGUGUAGGCGGCCUGUUAAGUCUUGCGUGAAAUCUCGGGGCUCAACCCCGAGCGGUCGUGAGAAACUGGCGGGCUAGAGUGCGGGAGAGGAGAGUGGAAUUCCUGGUGUAGCGGUGAAAUGCGCAGAUAUCAGGAAGAACACCCGUGGCGAAGGCGGCUCUCUGGAACGCAACUGACGCUGAGACGCGAAAGCGUGGGGAGCAAACGGG